GACGAACGCUGGCGGCGUGCUUAACACAUGCAAGUCGAACGGAAAGGCCCUGCUUUCGUGGGGUGCUCGAGUGGCGAACGGGUGAGUAACACGUGAGUAACCUGCCCUUGACUUUGGGAUAACUUCAGGAAACUGGGGCUAAUACCGGAUAGGAGCUCCUGCUGCAUGGUGGGGGUUGGAAAGUUUCGGCGGUUGGGGAUGGACUCGCGGCUUAUCAGCUUGUUGGUGGGGUAGUGGCUUACCAAGGCUUUGACGGGUAGCCGGCCUGAGAGGGUGACCGGCCACAUUGGGACUGAGAUACGGCCCAGACUCCUACGGGAGGCAGCAGUGGGGAAUAUUGCACAAUGGGCGGAAGCCUGAUGCAGCAACGCCGCGUGCGGGAUGACGGCCUUCGGGUUGUAAACCGCUUUCGCCUGUGACGAAGCGUGAGUGAUGGUAAUGGGUAAAGAAGCACCGGCUAACUACGUG
rnacentral:rRNA from 1 species